rnacentral:rRNA from 1 species
CGUACACUCCUACGGGAGGCAGCAGUGGGGAAUAUUGCACAAUGGGCGCAAGCCUGAUGCAGCCAUGCCGCGUGUAUGAAGAAGGCCUUCGGGUUGUAAAGUACUUUCAGCGGGGAGGAAGGCAAUACGGUUAAUAACCGUGUUGAUUGACGUUACCCGCAGAAGAAGCACCGGCUAACUCCGUGCCAGCAGCCGCGGUAAUACGGAGGGUGCAAGCGUUAAUCGGAAUUACUGGGCGUAAAGCGCACGCAGGCGGUCUGUCAAGUCGGAUGUGAAAUCCCCGGGCUCAACCUGGGAACUGCAUUCGAAACUGGCAGGCUUGAGUCUUGUAGAGGGGGGUAGAAUUCCAGGUGUAGCGGUGAAAUGCGUAGAGAUCUGGAGGAAUACCGGUGGCGAAGGCGGCCCCCUGGACAAAGACUGACGCUCAGGUGCGAAAGCGUGGGGAGCAAACAGGAUUAGAAACCCCUGUAGUCCCAU